UACGUAUGGAGCGAGCGUUAUCCGGAUUCACUGGGCGUAAAGGGAGCGUAGGCGGUCCGUUAAGUCUGAUGUGAAAACCCGCAGCCCAACUGCGGGACUGCAUUGGAAACUGGCGGACUAGAGUGUCGGAGGGGCAAGCGGAAUUCCUGGUGUAGCGGUGAAAUGCAUAGAUAUCAGGAGGAACACCGGUGGCGAAGGCGGCUUGCUGGACGACUACUGACGCUGAGACUCGAAAGCGUGGGGAG
rnacentral:rRNA from 1 species